rnacentral:rRNA from 1 species
ACUGAACGCUGGCGGCAGGCUUAACACAUGCAAGUCGAGCGGAGAUGAGGUGCUUGCGCCUUAUCUUAGCGGCGGACGGGUGAGUAAUGCUUAGGAAUCUGCCUAUUAGUGGGGGACAACAUUCCGAAAGGAAUGCUAAUACCGCAUACGCCCUACGGGGGAAAGCAGGGGAUCUUCGGACCUUGCGCUAAUAGAUGAGCCUAAGUCGGAUUAGCUAGUUGGUGGGGUAAAGGCCUACCAAGGCGACGAUCUGUAGCGGGUCUGAGAGGAUGAUCCGCCACACUGGGACUGAGACACGGCCCAGACUCCUACGGGAGGCAGCAGUGGGGAAUAUUGGACAAUGGGCGGAAGCCUGAUCCAGCCAUGCCGCGUGUGUGAAGAAGGCCUUUUGGUUGUAAAGCACUUUAAGCGAGGAGGAGGCUACCUGGAUUAAUACUCUAGGAUAGUGGACGUUACUCGCAGAAUAAGCACCGGCUAACUCUGUGCCAGCCGCCGCAGUAAAAC